UGGGGAAUAUUGCACAAUGGGCGCAAGCCUGAUGCAGCCAUGCCGCGUGUGUGAAGAAGGCCUUCGGGUUGUAAAGCACUUUCAGUCGGGAGGAAGGUGGUAAGGUUAAUAACCUUAUCAAUUGACGUUACCGACAGAAGAAGCACCGGCUAACUCCGUGCCAGCAGCCGCGGUAAUACGGAGGGUGCAAGCGUUAAUCGGAAUUACUGGGCGUAAAGCGCACGCAGGCGGUCUGUCAAGUCGGAUGUGAAAUCCCCGGGCUCAACCUGGGAACUGCAUUCGAAACUGGCAGGCUAGAGUCUUGUAGAGGGGGGUAGAAUUCCAGGUGUAGCGGUGAAAUGCGUAGAGAUCUGGAGGAAUACCGGUGGCGAAGGCGGCCCCCUGGACAAAGACUGACGCUCAGGUGCGAAAGCGUGGGGAGCAAACAGG
rnacentral:rRNA from 1 species